rnacentral:rRNA from 1 species
CACGACUACAUUAGAUACCCCUGUAGUCCUAGCCGUAAACGAUACUCGCUAGGUGUCGGCCACGGUGCGACCGUUGUCGGUGCCGUAGGGAAGCCGUGAAGCGAGCCACCUGGGAAGUACGGCCGCAAGGCUGAAACUUAAAGGAAUUGGCGGGGGAGCACCACAACGGGUGGAGCUUGCGGUUUAAUUGGAUUCAACGCCGGAAAUCUUACCGGGACCGACAGCAACAUGAAGGCCAAGCUGAAGACUUUGCCGGAUUAGCUG